rnacentral:rRNA from 1 species
CCUACGGGAGGCAGCAGUAGGGAAUAUUGGUCAAUGGACGAAAGUCUGAACCAGCCAUCCCGCGUGCAGGACGACGGCCCUAUGGGUUGUAAACUGCUUUUAUACAGGAAGAAUAAGCCUUACGUGUAAGGUGAUGACGGUACUGUAAGAAUAAGGAUCGGCUAACUCCGUGCCAGCAGCCGCGGUAAUACGGAGGAUCCAAGCGUUGUCCGGAUUUAUUGGGUUUAAAGGGUGCGUAGGCGGUUUGUUAAGUCAGUGGUGAAAGUUUGCGGCUUAACCGUAAAAUUGCCAUUGAAACUGACAGACUUGAAUUUGGUUGAGGUUGCCGGAAUGUGUCAUGUAGCGGUGAAAUGCUUAGAUAUGAUACAGAACACCAAUUGCGAAGGCAGGUAACUAAACCAAUAUUGACGCUGAGGCACGAAAGCGUGGGGAUCAAACAGGAUUAGAUACCCUGGUAGUCCACGCCCUAAACGUUGAUUACUCGUUGUUGGCGAUACACUGUCAGCGACUAAGACGAAACGACGUUAAGUUAACUACCUACCGUACGGGGAGGUACGGUACCGGCCGAACGGUUAGUAAACGUACGAAAGGAAAGUUAGUACGGCGUGAGACGUGCCGAACGGACGACGACGAGGGAGUAGG